rnacentral:rRNA from 1 species
UACGUAGGGUGCAAGCGUUAUCCGGAAUUAUUGGGCGUAAAGAGUGUGUAGGCGGUGCUCUAAGUCUGUCGUGAAAUCUCCCGGCUUAACCGGGAGGCUGCGGCGGAAACUGGUGUGCUAGAGGGUGGGAGAGGUAAUCGGAAUUCCUGGUGCAGCGGUGAAAUGCGUAGAUAUCAGGAGGAACACCUGCGGUGUAGACAGCUUACUGGACCACUUCUGACGCUGAGACACGAAAGCGUGGGUAGCAAACAGG